rnacentral:rRNA from 1 species
UACGUAGGGGGCAAGCGUUGUCCGGAAUCAUUGGGCGUAAAGAGCGUGUAGGCGGUUCGGUAAGUCGGCUGUGAAAGUCCAGGGCUCAACCCUGGGAUGCCGGUCGAUACUGCCGGACUAGAGUUCGGAAGAGGCGAGUGGAAUUCCCGGUGUAGCGGUGAAAUGCGCAGAUAUCGGGAGGAACACCUGCGGCGAAGGCGGGUUGCUGGGCCGACACUGACGCUGAGGCGCGAAAGCUAGGGGAGCGAACGGG